AGUAGGUCGUAGUAGGUGGCAGAGUGGCUGUAGUAGGAUGUAGUAGGUGGCAGAGUGGCUGUAGUAGGUCAUAGUAGGUGGCAGAGUGGCUGUAGUAGGUCGUAGAAGGUGGCAGAGUGACUGUAGUAGGUUGUAGAAGGUGGCAGAGUGGCU